UUGACUGGGGCGGUCUCCUCCUAAAGAGUAACGGAGGAGCACGAAGGUUGGCUAAUCCUGGUCGGACAUCAGGAGGUUAGUGCAAUGGCAUAAGCCAGCUUGACUGCGAGCGUGACGGCGCGAGCAGGUGCGAAAGCAGGUCAUAGUGAUCCGGUGGUUCUGAAUGGAAGGGCCAUCGCUCAACGGAUAAAAGGUACUCCGGGGAUAACAGGCUGAUACCGCCCAAGAGUUCAUAUCGACGGCGGUGUUUGGCACCUCGAUGUCGGCUCAUCACAUCCUGGGGCUGAAGUAGGUCCCAAGGGUAUGGCUGUUCGCCAUUUAAAGUGGUACGCGAGCUGGGUUUAGAACGUCGUGAGACAGUUCGGUCCCUAUCUGCCGUGGGCGCUGGAGAACUGAGGGGGGCUGCUCCUAGUACGAGAGGACCGGAGUGGACGCAUCACUGGUGUUCGGGUUGUCAUGCCAAUGGCACUGCCCGGUAGCUAAAUGCGGAAGAGAUAAGUGCUGAAAGCAUCUAAGCACGAAACUUGCCCCGAGAUGAGUUCUCCCUGACUCCUUGAGAGUCCUGAAGGAACGUUGAAGACGACGACGUUGAUAGGCCGGGUGUGUAAGCGCAGCGAUGCGUUGAGCUAACCGGUACUAAUGAACCGUGAGGCUUAACCUUACAAC
rnacentral:rRNA from 1 species